UACGUAGGGUGCAAGCGUUAAUCGGAAUUACUGGGCGUAAAGCGUGCGCAGGCGGUUAUGUAAGACAGUUGUGAAAUCCCCGGGCUCAACCUGGGGAACUGCAUCUGUGACUGCAUAGCUAGAGUACGGUAGAGGGGGAUGGAAUUCCGCGUGUAGCAGUGAAAUGCGUAGAUAUGCGGAGGAACACCGAUGGCGAAGGCAAUCCCCUGGACCUGUACUGACGCUCAUGCACGAAAGCGUGGGGAGCAAACAGG
rnacentral:rRNA from 1 species